rnacentral:lncRNA from 1 species
AUUAACUUAGCUCAUUUAUGACAGCAACACAAUCAUCAUAACAGUGCAUUGUAUAUGAUCAAGGAUCAUCAUAAGAGUGCCAAAUAAACUUAGUAGUGAUUACAGUACCAUAUAUCAUAACAUGGAUAAUAACAGCACACCACAUUAGUUCCCUGAGGCAUAAAAGUAAUCCUUUAGCCUUGUUGGUUUGUUUCUCUGUCUUGGUGGCAAGAAGGGUGCUGGAGCACUAGUUGUAGAUCUCCUGGUUGAUGUUGUUGAUGUGCUACUUACCCUACUUGCUGAAGCUUUUGAAGCUCUCCUUGGUAGAGUUGUUGGCCUGCUUUCCCUGCUUGCUGGAGCUCUUGAGGUGCCUGCUGCAGUUGCUGAAGCUCUCCUUGCUGGAGGUGUUGGUGGUGCUCCUGGUGGUGCACCAAUAGAUGAAGCUGCAACAGUUGCCUUCCUGGUUGGUGCAGCAACAGAUGAAGAUGCACCAACAGAUGUGGUACCUUCCUGUAUUGUGUUUGACUGUAAUUAAGAAAAAAUAGCAAGUUAAUACAUUCAAGUGUUACAAAACCAGCACAUAAUAGCAGGAAGUAUGGCAUCAAUUAAUAACCUGAUGCUUAUUCUUUCUCAUUUCUAGGCCUCGCUUGAGGGUCUUUUUGCAAGAUGUAUAUUUGUGACCAACAAGAUUACAAUUGUUGCAUGUAAUUGGGGCCAUCCAAGAUGUAUCUUUAGGUGUUGCUCGCUCAAGCUUGCCCCUUCUCCUUUUUGUGUGUUGCUUCCUUGGUUUAUCCUUCAUAACACGAGGUUCUAUGUCUCUAGUUUUGGUCUUGGGCCAGAGAUAAGGUCCAGGAACGAGAAAAAUUAUGGGAUUGUAUGUUGCCAGCUACAUAGACUUUUUGAAGAAGUCAUGUACAUAAUCUUCAGGCCUUAGUUUGGCUUUGGUAAUAGAAAAGACUACAUGCUUGCAUGGCACUGUAGUCAUAUCCCAUUUUCUACACCCACAUGUCUUCUCCUGCAAGUUUACUGAAUAGGUCCUCUCAUGGUUUGUCACUUGGUAAAUAUUUGGUCCAACCAUCAAAGAUUUACAGUUCCUAGAGUCUUUCUUUGCUUCUUCGAGCAACUCAGCAUAUGUUGGGCAUAUUUCUCACUUUGCAAUUUGUGUCUUAGUCAUAUUUCCAUUAAAUCUAACCAUCAACUUGGUCCUGAUUCCAUCUACCAUGGUCAUUAUUGGUUUACCCCUCACAUCUAAUAUCAUCUUGUUAAACACCUCACUAAUAUUAUUGACAACUAGGUCAGUUUUGUAAGUCAAGUCCAUGGCAAAUCUAGGCCAAGCAUUUCUAAGAAUUUUAUUUAACCAAGCCCAAGCAUCCUUACACUCAAGUUUAAGAGCAUCCGUUACAGCAAUAUAGUCAUGUUCAGUAUAGGAGUAACUUGCCUUGUCCAUGUACUUUUUUAAUUAUGCCCCCUAAAACCAGUUGUCUAAAAGUUUUGGUAGAUGUGUCUAAGACAGAAUCUUUGGUUGCAAUUGGGGAAACCAUGGCUCACAGCUUUCAGAAGACCCUAUUUUCAACAAUUACCAUACUUACUAGUAAGCAACAAAUAUCAACAAUAAUUACUAAUAAAUAACUACUACUAGGAAGGACAAAAAUAGUACCUUCUUCUUAUCAGAGAUUAUGGUGUAAUAAUCAAAUCUCCCAGCUUCUCCACCAAUUGUUGUCUUUAAUUCUAUGAGAAACCAAGUCCAACUAUUUGUGCCUUCCUUGUCCACAACUCCAAAAGCAAUGGGAUGGAUGUUAUUAUUCCCAUCCCUUCUUGUGGCAGCAAGUAUUUGUUGGCCAGUAGACAGCUUUAUGAAGCAACCAUCCACACCUGCCAUGGUACAAACCACAUGUUAAAAACAAAGCAUGCACUACUAAGGCUACUACAUAGUUGAAAAGCAUAGGAAUCACCUAUAAAUGGUCUGUAUCCAUUCAAAAAUCCUUCCUUGCAAACAUUCAAACAACUGGACAAACCAUGGAACCUUAGAUUAUUGCUUGGAUGCUCUUUGUGAUACUUAGUAGUGACAAUGCACGUGCUACCUGGAUUUGUGUCUAACACAGCCUACAAGUAAUCCUUGAUCCUUGUGUAUUGCCCCCUAUGAUCUCCUUGCACCAUAUGAAUAGCAUUGUUCUUAGCCCUAUAGGCCAUAUGAGUACUGAUGUCAACUCCAUAUUUGCUCUUAAGAUUGUGCAUUAUUGUACCUAUAGAUGUGUUCAAGUCAGUUCUUAUUGCUUCUAAAACCUCAUGUGUAACCCACUUUGUAGUAACCUUGGUGCUCUCUCCUACAGCUGGACAUGUGUGGACCAAAUUGGUUUUCCUAAUGCAAAAAGUCCUCUCUUUUCCCAGAGCUGAAGCUGCAAUGAAGAAAGGGCAGUCUACAUGUGUGCACACAGCUAUGAUUCUGUUGUUGCAGUUCCUAUGAAACAGAUAUUUACGUUCCGUGUUAUGUGAAAAGUGAGAAGUACCUUUCUAAAUUGGUACACAUCAUGAAAACAAAGCUUCUUAACAAAUUGCAGCUCUGGGUUCUCUCUAUCAUCAGAAUACCAUAUCCUUGGCUUUGGUUUUUUGACCUACUCUUACUGUCAAGCAAAAAUGGUAGGGGUACAACCCCAUCAACUUCUUCCUCCAUCAAAUCACCAGGAUCAUCAUCCUCAUUAGAAGAUGGAAUCCAAACAUCCUCAAACUGUUGCUCAUCACUAGCAUGUGAACUUGUGGUUGGUCCCUUUCUUACCAUCAACUUAUUCCUAUUUGGCUCCUCUGGUACCAUGCUCAUCUCCCCAUGCUUAUCUUGCUUUGCAUGUUCCUCUUGCACUUCCUCUUCUUCUAGCUCAUAAGGUUCUUCAACAUCAGUGUCACCUUCAAAGUGUAAAAGUGGGUCCUCUCUCUGCCUCCUCAACUCAACCAUCCUAUCCAUGAAAUCUUCAUCUUCCUCCAACUCAGAGUCAUCUUCAGUUAGUAGCAAAGGAAGUUUUCUUUUCAAUGCAUGCACCCUAUAAAUUGUCUUCUGAUACUUCUUAAACCUCUGAAUUUUUGAUCUCCUUUUAUGCUCCAUACUUCUUUCCAACUCCUCUUGCUCCAUAUCAACAUCUACUGUUUUUGAUACUUUGUAUGGUGACUUGUACAACACACUAGCAUCAUUGACCUCAUAUACACUGCUCUCUCCAACAUUGGCCAUAGGAACUUGCUCAUCACAAAUAUAACCUAUGUUUAAAUCUGCAGGGGUGGACUCACUACCCCUAACUACUGUCAGGUUUACUAUGUUUUGACCUCUAUUGGCAAUGUGGUCCAACAUAUCAUCCACCUUGUCAUCAUCACAUAUCUCUUCACAACUAGCUAUUCCCAACCUAGCAUCCCACACAUAAUACAUAUAAUCUUUAAUUCCAUAUCCUGUCUCUUCAUGAGGGCUAACAGAUUGUAAAAUGUGAUGUCUGAAACACACAUAGUUCUUUUCAAGUUAUCCCUAUCAUGAAAGUGCAGUCUAACUUCCCAAGUAUCAUCACACAAACUCAAAAUAAAAUUUUUGAUUAGUUACACAGUGUAUAAACUAAAACUAACACAACUUCUCUCGCAACCAUAUGAACACAACACUAACCCUAACCCUACAAUGUAAAGAAUACAAGUGGGGAGAAUAAGAGAGGAUGGGCAAGCUUACUCCAUCGACGGUGAUGCUAGUCUCCUCUGCGGGGCUUGGCUAGGGUUAGAGCUCCCGCAGAACUCCUCGGGUGGCUUUGGAUCUCCGCCGCCAACCAACCCUCCUGCGCCAUCGUAUCCUGCACUGUCCACUCCACCAUCGGGGUCCUAGCUCGCUGUUGUCAUGAACGAGAGAGAUACAGAGGAGAGCGCCACCAGGAGAGGGGUUAAUGUCGAGAGGAGGGGAUAAAAUGCGAGCGUUUUUUUUCUUACGGGACAUCUAACCUAGCCAGCGCGUCGAUGGAGCUACCGGCAACGUUCGACGACGCUAGUGACGGAUCUAUGCGCCACAUCAUCGAAAAUGGGACCCACAUGUUAUAAUCAUGCUUAAGACGCUCCAACCGACCGGUUUGUGUUUCCCCCCAAAAUUUAGAUGAUUUUUGUGAGUUUUCUACAACAAAUGCAUAAAAGGAUGUUUUCCGCAAACGUUCGCUUCAAUGUGGUCGUUUUCUACCAUUAAUUGUACCAUGACGAAAUGAGUACUGACAAAAGCAUCAAUUUUGUCUAUUCUUAUUGAAUUUUGUGUUGUUCUGGAGUCAUCCACGAGUAUCUUUCCUCAUCCCGAUACCGCUUAUACUUGGAAACAUCUAUUGCUAGAGUUGUGUGUCAAACCGAUGGAGUAGUUGACUGUAUGGAUAUGUGAGAUGGAUUGAGUGAUCGUUUCGUCCCGGUAAUUGGAUGACACCCUAAACCAAGAAUUUUUUGCACUGAAAUGAAUAAAAUAUUUGAAACAAUCUGUGAGCAAUCUUUUUAACGCGCAAGGCAUAGGAUAUUUUUAUUUAUAUAUCAACAUCUAAGAAGCUGUAAUCUUGUUUCAAAAAUAUGCUGACAAAAAAUAUUGAAAAUAUACCUUGUUUCCCCUUUGUUAAACUAUGUGAAUCAAUGGCAUUUGUAAUAUCAUGAAAAGGAGCCCGUCUUGGCAUUCCAAUGGAUAUUGUACGGUUACUUGAAUUUCCUUUCACUUUCUUCCUAGAUAAUCAUCCACAAUCUAAGGCGUUGAGCAACAUAGUAGACACCAUUAGCACAAGCAUAGGAAGAACAUGCAGCAGUAUAUGCACGCCAAGCUUAGGUCACCUCAAACUUCUUGUAGCAAACCGUUUUUUUGCAUAUUACUUGAUACAAAAUCGAAAAAGAAUAGACAGAGUUGACGCUUUGGUCAGUCCACAUUUCGUCAUGGUACAAUGGAACAUGCACAUAUUUAUAUAUACAAAAAAUAUCGGAUGUUUAAAUCAAUGAAGAUGCCCUUUUAAAUGGCUAUAACACUUACAUCGAAGUAUAUCAGAAAUGAAACGAAAAAAAACUUUGGGGACAUAAACUCCAACACAUGGUGGGCACAAUAUGCUCUGGCAUGUUUACUGAUUUCUACACUGAAAUACAAAAUGUGGGUUCAGAUUCAUGGCAUUUGAUAUACAGAAAUAGAAAAUAUACAUAUAAUUAAAGAAGAUAGUACCACUUAUAUACUUCUUCAAAUGGUAUCUUACCUCUUCACAUGUAAGCUAUCACUGUGUGAGGUUGUGUUCAUAUCGGUUGGGUUGCACUGGUAUGCCAUUCGGCUACUAGCACUUCCACCGGCGUCCGCUUCCGAGAUGGAUUAGUCUAAGACGUGUAUGGGUGGAUAUGUGAGGAAGCGGCGGCGGUGAGCAUGUGGAACAGUAGACAGGGAUGGUGAGCGCCUGAGUGGAAACUUCUGGGCAGCCCAAGUUUGAGCGAUUGGAGUCGAACUGACACGGAUGAGAAAAUGGGGAGCUCUUGCCGCGGCCGGCGGUCAACGGUGGAGGGCCGAUCUGUCUUCAGAGGAGUUGUGGUGCCGCGAGUAUAGGGCGACAGCGGGGGGCGCGGUGAUGCGAAGAAACAGAAUCCGCUUCAGCAAGGAGAGAU